rnacentral:rRNA from 1 species
UCAGAUUGAACGCUGGCGGCAGGCUUAACACAUGCAAGUCGAGCGGUAGCAGGUCCUUCGGGAUGCUGACGAGCGGCGGACGGGUGAGUAAUGCAUAGGAAACUGCCCAGUAGUGGGGGAUAGCCCGGGGAAACCCGGAUUAAUACCGCGUACGCCCUUCGGGGGAAAGCAGGGGCUCUUCGGACCUUGCGCUAUUGGAUGUGCCUAUGUCGGAUUAGCUAGUUGGUGGGGUAAAGGCCUACCAAGGCGACGAUCCGUAGCUGGUCUGAGAGGAUGAUCAGCCACAUCGGGACUGAGACACGGCCCGAACUCCUACGGGAGGCAGCAGUGGGGAAUAUUGGACGAUGGGGGCAACCCUGAUCCAGCCAUGCCGCGUGUGUGAAGAAGGCUUUCGGGUUGUAAAGCACUUUCAGUGGGGAGGAAGGCUCAAAGGUUAAUACCCUUUGGGAUUGACGUUACUCACAGAAGAAGCACCGGCUAACUCCGUGCCAGCAGCCGCGGUAAUACGGAGGGUGCAAGCGUUAAUCGGAAUUACUGGGCGUAAAGCGCGCGUAGGUGGUUUGAUAAGCGAGAUGUGAAAG